rnacentral:piRNA from 2 species
UGUUCUCUUAGUGUCUGUAUAACA